AUACGGAGGGUGCAAGCGUUAUUCGGAAUCACUGGGCGUAAAGGACGCGUAGGCGGGUUGGCAAGUCAGAUGUGAAAUCCUACAGCUUAACUGUAGAACUGCAUUUGAAACUGCUAACCUAGAGUAUGGGAGGGGGAGAUGGAAUUAGUGGUGUAGGGGUAAAAUCCGUAGAUAUCACUAGGAAUACCGAAAGCGGAGGCGAUCUCCUGGAACAUAACUGACGCUAAGGCGUGAAAGCGUGGGGAGCAAACAGGAUUAGAAACCCUAGUAGUCC
rnacentral:rRNA from 1 species